rnacentral:tRNA from 1 species
GUUUAUAAAGUUUUUAAAACAUUUCAUUUUCAUUGAAAAAAGAGAAUAAAUU